AAAAUUAUUAUUUUAUUAUUUUAUCGAUUUGUGUCAUAUUUUGAAUCGGCCUAACUCGGGACUGGAAAUAUUUAUUAAUUUAUAAUAUUUAUUAAUUUAUCGGAUAUUAAUUUGUAGAGUUUCUACUGUACCAUCAUUAACAUCUUCACUGAAUCAGCAAUGACAAAAAUCAUAACAUUAUACUAAUUCUUUGUCGUUAUCGCCAUUAAAACAAUAUGAGUAAAACUUUACACACAAACGUAAAUACAAACAAAAUUAAUUUGACAAAGUGGGUGAAACAGCCUUCAAGAAUCAAGAGAGUCCAAAUUAGCCUUCAAUGACACAUAACAUAAUCGCCAAGUAAAUUAUUUUCGCUAUUAAUCAUUCUCAAUUACUACAUAUGAGUAUGUUGCGCCAAGUUCCUAGCUUACAAAUAUAUUGUAACCAGUGGUACGUGCACUUGUAUUACAUGAAUCUGAACUUAAUCUCCUUAACCACACAACAACAGCACAACUAUUAACAUGUCAAAUAGAGAAAAAGUGGUAUAAUGCGCCAUAACCUCUAUUUUACCAACUAAAAGCACUUUAACUCGAUCUUAUCAUCGACCAAAAGAAACCACGCGUUAAAAGCCCAUACACAACUAUACUUAGGAUGAUGGUAUGCGGACUACAGUAAUAUAAACCACACAUACGGACGUCGGACCAUUUAUUAUGAUAGCAUAACUAUAUCAUAAAAAUGUAAUUAUAAUACAUAUAGAAUUAAUGUAAUGAACGAUGAAGAACAUGUGACAAAAGUAUUGUCCUCACGGACCUCACCUCAUAAUGAUAAACCAAGAAUAAGUUCAUCAAUCAAGACAGUGACGAAAUCAUUCCCCAACUCUUCAACCACAUAAUCUCUCUCUUCACCAUUGAUACAACCCCAUUUCAUUUCCUUUACAUAAAUCUCUCUCUUUUCUCUCACUUCCCAACUCAUAAACAUACAUUCUUCUUCUUUUCUCCUCAACACCCAUUCUUCAACUGUCAUCACCAACUUAUCCUCGUCUCUUGUCUCAUUAUUAUGCCCUUUUUUGAAAAAAUAUAGCAAGAGACGGUCUACCUUCUGAGAUGCAAGCAAAUGACUUGGUUCCUCAAAUAAUCUAGACUUCACUAGAGCAAACAAACGGUGUGCUCGGCUUUCCGAUUGUUCUUCUUCGGUUGCUACCAAGUGAGAGUUGUAGUCUUCUCUCUCGACAUAUUCCUCUAUGCGUUUCUUUAAAUCCACAGGCUCAAGUCGUACGAAACUCUCUAAUCUUCUGGUUUUUCUCAAGAGAUUCUUCUCGUCGGUUUCUGUGUAUGGUUAUGAAGCGUUUACGGUGACCAACGCUUGUAUUUUUUUGGAGUAUGCCGCCGGUUCCUUCAGGUGGUGUGGUCAAGUUGGUGGGACUGGGAUCGACCUUUGGCUGGAUUGAAAAUUGGUUGGUUGUGCGCAGCGAAAGAGAUUUGUGUGUCAACAGAAUAGUUAUUCUAGAUUAUUCUAGACUUGGGGUUGGAAAUUUUAGGGCCAGUUAUUGUCUUGUGACAAUUAAAUCUUUUGUGGUCAUGGAGUUAUUAUAAGAGAAAGUGAUUCUUUGAAACUAAAAGGGGCUUAUUGAACUGAGCAUUUGAGAGAAUUUUAAUAUAUACUAAAUCCUAGGGAUUUUUAAAAAUAUUGGGAUUUGAGCAA